AGGUCACUUUUCAGCUCUGGUUAAGACACCCUCUCCUUGUUCUCGUAUUCGUCAGGUUUCCAUGCACAAAUCCAUGAAUUCAAAUGUCAGUGAAGUAUAUCAGAGUGAUACUGGGUGGUUGUUUGCUCUCAGUUCAACACGUGACCAGUCCCGCCUCCAGGAAACAGACAGACUUGGGACCCAUAUGGUACCAACAGGUACUGGUAACACUUCACCGAAUGCUAGCGGCCGUCACCUGGCUCAGGUGGCGAGGAAGAGGUCGUCACUGCGGUUACUGUCGACGUGAUCAUGGCGGAGCGGCUGGAUUUCUACCCCUCGUAACAAAACGGGUUCAACUAGUGCUGCCACUCAAGGUUAAAGAACUUGCGUAAGAAGCAGUUUGACUUUGUGUAACUAGUAU